rnacentral:rRNA from 1 species
CAAUAGCGUAUAUUUAAGUUGCUGCAGUUAAAAAGCUCGUAGUUGGAUUUCGGGUGGGAAUGGCCGGUCCGCCGUUUCGGUGUGCACUUGCUACGCCCACCUUGCUGCCGGGGACGUGCUCUUGAGUUCACGCUCGGGACACGGAGUCGGCGAGGUUACUUUGAGUAAAUUAGAGUGUUCAAAGCAGGCCUACGCUCUGAAUACAUUAGCAUGGAAUAACACGAUAGGACUCUGGCCUAUCUUGUUGGUCUGUAGUACCGGAGUAAUGAUUAAGAGGGACAGUCGGGGGCAUUCGUAUUUCAUUGUCAGAGGUGAAAUUCUUGGAUUUAUGAAAGACGAACUACUGCGAAAGCAUUUGCCAAGGAUGUUUUCAUUAA